GCCAAAACUAUAAAGUCGUUACAAACGAAAGUUCUCACUCGACUAUCGGGCUAGCGGUGUUUAUUUGCUUGAUUGAUAUCCGAUACGGUCAAGAUCCUCGAAUGUUCUACGCCAUCUCAUCUACUAUGACGUAAAAUAAAUAAACUUGUAACUGAA
rnacentral:lncRNA from 1 species